GGUGGCUCAGUGGUGGAGUGCUUGCCUUGCAUGCAUGAGACCCUGGGUUCGAUUCCUCAGCACCA
rnacentral:tRNA from 1 species